CAAAAUUAUUAAAUAACACAUACGGAAUAAUUUAGUAACCAAAAAGGUUUCAAACAAAUCAAAAUAUAUUUGAGAUUGUUCUAAGUAGCCACCCUUUGCCUUGGUUGGCAUUCUCUCAACCAGCUUCAUGAGGUAGUCACCUGGAAUGCAUUUCAAUUAACCUGUUGGGGCUCGGGGGCAGUAUUGAGAAAUUUUGAAAAAAAUAUGUGCCCAUUUUUAACUGCCUCCUACACCAACUCAGAAGCUAGGAUAUGCAUAUUAUUAACACAUUCGGAUAGAAAACACUCUGAAUUUUCUAAAACAGUUUGAAUGGUGUCUGUAAGUAUAACAAAACUCAUAUUGCAGGCAAAAACCUGUGAAAAAUAGAUUUAAAAAAAUGUGAAUUUUGUGACUGUACUAUUUAGUGUCAUUGUUUUAUAGAUACCAUAGUGAGAAAGGAUUAAUUUCGCAACACCUACGGCUUCCACUAGAUGUCAACGAUCUUUAUAAAGUUGUUUGAAGCAUCUAUGAUAAACAGAGAGCAAAUUAGAAUGCAAGGAAGUUGACAUGUCGUCACUUCAUUUUUUGUGCCUGCGCAUAAAUCUGAGAAGCGUGAGUUUGUCAUUAAUUGUUUAUCAAGACAUAGGAUAGGUUGUGUGAAAAUAUUACUGAUGUUUAACGUUAAAAAUGGACCAAAAGAUUAAUGCUAAACAACGUUUGACAUGUUUGAACGAACCUAAAUAGAUUAUUUACUAGGUUUUUUUAGCUUUUCGGCGUGAUUUUACAACCCCCCCCACCACGUUUUGUGGGAGCAUAAUGAACGCUAACUACUUGGUGUUAUUUGGACAUAAAUUAUGAACUUUGUCAAAAGAAACCACAUUUGUUCCGGACCUGGGAUUCCUGGCAGUGCCUUCUGAUGGAGAUAAUCAAAGGACAAUGACCCAAAAUACACCUCCAGGCUGUGAAAGGGCUAUUUGACCAAGGAGAAUGAUGGAGUGCUGCACUACCCGACCUCUACCCAAUUGAGAUGGUUUGGGAUGAGUUGGACCGCAGAGUGAAGGAAUAGCAGCCAACAAGUGCUCAGCAUAUGUGGGAACUCCUUCAAAACUGUUGGAA
rnacentral:lncRNA from 1 species